GGUAUGGUGGCCAGGUGGUAAGGUAUCAGCGUCGUGAACUGAAGAUUGCGGGUUUGAACCCUGUCUGUGACA